rnacentral:rRNA from 1 species
UGUUUCUUGUUUUUUUUAAGAAAUAUUUUCUGCUCAGUGGUUUUAAAUAGCCGCAGUAGUUUGACUGUGCGAAGGUAGCAUAAUAAUUUGUUUUAUAAUUUAGGACUGGAAUGAAUGGGAUAACAGAGAAUUAACUUUCUUCUAUUUUUGUAUAGAAUUUGUUUUUUAUGUGAAGAAACAUAAAUUAAAUAAAGGGACAAGAAGACCCUUUUGAGCUUUAUUUUAAAUUAAUUAAUUAAGUAAGUUAUAUUAAAAAUUUAGUUGGGGCGAUUAAGGAAGAAAUAAUCUUCUUUAGUAAAUAUAUUUUUGAUCCUUAGUUAUUGAUUGAAAGAUUUAGUUACCAAAGGGAUAACAGCGUAAUUUUUUUUGUGAGUUCUUAUUAAAAAUAAAGAUUGCGACCUCGAUGUUGACUUUUAUUAAUCCUUUAGGUGUAGAAGUUUGAAAGGAAGGUCUGUUCGACCUUUAAAUUUAA